CUCUGAAUGAACGCACAAGACUCUGGUGACUGCUCCUCAUUCUCCAAGAGCGACUUCAAAAGACCUGGGCUCAGUCAACACAUCUGCCUUGGCGGGAACCAAGGCCAGUCCUGAGAAGAAAUGGGUAGAUGGAAACUCUGCUUUGGACCAAUGCAGCUUUAUUGCGUCUCCCUGGGAAAUUGCAGGUAAAGGGUUAAUCCUGUUCCAUGAUGGACCUUUCUUUGAAGAUUUCGGUAAGUUUGAGCGGUGGAGACUCCAGCUCUGGUAGCUGAACUACAGCUGUAAGACGCUGCCAAAAAUCCCCGUGCUGGGAGGAUCACUACUUCUGCAAGCAAGUAUGUGUUUCUCUGAGGCUGUGUAACCAAGUCUCUUCCAA